rnacentral:rRNA from 1 species
GAGUAAUACAUCGGAACGUGUCCUGUAGUGGGGGAUAGCCCGGCGAAAGCCGGAUUAAUACCGCAUACGCUCUACGGAGGAAAGGGGGGGAUCUUAGGACCUCCCGCUACAGGGGCGGCCGAUGGCAGAUUAGCUAGUUGGUGGGGUAAAGGCCUACCAAGGCGACGAUCUGUAGCUGGUCUGAGAGGACGACCAGCCACACUGGGACUGAGACACGGCCCAGACUCCUACGGGAGGCAGCAGUGGGGAAUUUUGGACAAUGGGGGCAACCCUGAUCCAGCAAUGCCGCGUGUGUGAAGAAGGCCUUCGGGUUGUAAAGCACUUUUGUCCGGAAAGAAAACGCCGUGGUUAAUACCCGUGGCGGAUGACGGUACCGGAAGAAUAAGCACCGGCUAACUACGUGCCAGCAGCCGCGGUAAUACGUAGGGUGCAAGCGUUAAUCGGAAUUACUGGGCGUAAAGCGUGCGCAGGCGGUCCGCUAAGACAGAUG